CAGGCAGCGCCUCUGCUCUACUGAACCUUUCCCCAGGGCAAGGUCGGAGGGGAAUGGAGUGGAGGGAUCCCUCCGAGGCCCUGUUAAGGGACAUGCCCAGCACUGUCCUCUUGCCUCACUAACUCUCUCUAGCUCCCGGGAAGAAGGUCCCUCUAUCCCUCUUCCUCUUCACCCCUCUCUCAGUAGGGUCUGACUCAGGCUCAGACUAGCCGGGCAGGCUCACUGGUCUUGCUGCCUCAGCCUCCCAAAUGCUGGGAUUACAGCCGCUCCUGAAGCACUGGCGUUCUCUCUGCCGCUCUCCAAGAUGUCCAUUGCUUAGGCUGUGUCCCUAGACCCUGGCACCCUUUACUCUCAACACUGCUUCCCUGAGUUGCGUGUCUCCCACGGAAGACUAUGCGGUUUUGUCCAACACUGAGCUAGCUGCAGUGCUACCUUCGCCAGCACAACAUCCUGAAUGGGCCUAUCGUGGGCUCUACUCACAAGCUCUAUGAAAAGAAAAUCUGCCAGAAUAAGACCCAGAGGCAGAGGCUCUCAUUCCCCUCCCCGACCCAACUCGUCAUCCUCUACAUUCUUCUACCGGUUCUCAGACUUGGAUUCGGCCUCCGUGGACUCAGACCUGUAGGAUCUGCUCCCAAAAGAGGACGCCUUACUUUACCAAAGCAAGGACUAUAAUGACGACUGCGAUGAGGAGAGUUAUUUGACUCCCAGGACAUAUGGGGAGCCCAAGUCUGUGGGCAUGUCCAAGAGCUUCCACCAUCCGGGGACCUCACUUGCAGAUGGUCACUCUUUCCAACACCAGGUGCGUGAUAUUUUCUCUCCUUCAGGAGGACAAGGAUAGAGAACCCCACAUCUACGGCCGACACAGCGCCUACCAGAGCAUCUCACACUACCACCCCAUUUCCAGCGUCUCCAGGAGCUCCCUGGGCUUAUCCUUUAUCCUACAAUCUCCACCUCUUCUGUGACAUCCUCUUCGUCUUCUCCCUCUUCAUGGCUUACCCGCCGCGCCAUCAGGCCAGAAAAACAGGCCCCUGAUUCCCUGCACUGGACUGGUAUCACCAGGCCCCACUCUGGGACCAGCUAUUGCCCUUCCUGGUCUAUGCUGCCUGUCUGCUGUUUGUUUACUACGCCAUACAAGUUGAAGAACGCAACCCUUUCUGGAUGGAUCCCCGAGAGUAUGGUUUCAGAGCAGCUCUUCACAGUUUUGGCAGAUUGCCUUAGCGGUAUUUGCUGGGGGAGGAGUAGAUGUGGGCUUUUUGUGUUCUAGUUAGGGGAUGGAGGGCCUAGCCUAGGGCAGUGUUUAUAGCCCACCUCCUUCUGCUAAGGAGGAAGCAAAUGCUGGCCUUCCCAGUGGGCCCACGUGUACCUUCUUCUGGAGUCUCAUAGCCCUGUUGCCUCUGACCCUUAAGGCUCCAGGGGGAAAGAACCUCAUUUCUUUAGAGGAAAGCUUGGUGGUAGUUGUCAUACAUGCCUGUUUAUUGUCACCUUUUCAUGGUGUAUUAACCAAAGGCCUUUGUUUUCGUGGACACAAUAAAAAGCAUGUUUAUUUAAAAAAAAAAAAACAAUUUUACUAAAAAAA
ensembl:lncRNA